GAUGAACGCUAGCGGCAGGCCUAAUACAUGCAAGUCGAACGGUGUCUUCGGACAUAGUGGCGCACGAGUGCGUAACACGUAUGCAACCUACCUUACAUUGGGGGAUAGCCUUUCGAAAGGGAGAUUAAUACCGCAUAAGUCAGUAGCUGGGCAUCCAGCAGCUGUUAAAGAUUUAUCGAUGUAAGCUGGGCAUGCGUCCAAUUAGCUAGUUGGUGAGGUAACGGCUCACCAAGGCAAUGAUUGGUAGGGGAACUGAGAGGUCAAUCCCCCACACUGGCACUGAGAUACGGGCCAGACUCCUACGGGAGGCAGCAGUAGGGAAUAUUGGGCAAUGGACGCAAGUCUGACCCAGCCAUGCCGCGCGCAGGAUGAAGGCGUUAUGCGUUGUAAACUGCUUUUAUACAGGAAGAAACGACUCUUGCGAGAGGCAUUGACGGUACUGUAUGAAUAAGCACCGGCUAACUCCGUGCCAGCCGCCGGCGUAAAAC
rnacentral:rRNA from 1 species